rnacentral:rRNA from 1 species
UACAGGAGGGGGCAAGCGUUGUUCGGAAUUACUGGGCGUAAAGGGCGCGUAGGCGGCCCGCUAAGUCGAACGUGAAAUCCCCGAGCUCAACUCGGGAACUGCGUCCGAUACUGGCGGGCUUGAAUCCGGGAGAGGGAUGCGGAAUUCCAGGUGUAGCGGUGAAAUGCGUAGAUAUCUGGAGGAACACCGGUGGCGAAGGCGGCAUCCUGGACCGGCAUUGACGCUGAGGCGCGAAAGCUAGGGGAGCAAACGGG